AGGGAAUCCAUUCUAUGGGUUAUGGGGCACAGGGAAUUAAUGGGUUAUGGGGCCCAUCCAACGGGUCAUGGGGCAUAAGGAAUUCAUCAUAUGGGCCGUGGGGUAGAGCCAUUCUAUGAGCCAUGGGGCACAGGAAAUCCCUCCUACAGAUCAUUGGGCACAGGGAAUCCAUCAUAUGGGUCAUGGGGCACAGAGAAUACAU